AUGGUAGGAUAGAGGCCUACCAUGGUGGUAACGGGUAACGGGGUGUUAGGGCACGACACCGGAGAGGGAGCCUGAGAAACGGCUACCACAUCCAAGGAAGGCAGCAGGCGCGCAAAUUACCCAAUCCCGACACGGGGAGGUAGUGACAAUAAAUAACAAUACAGGGUUCUUUGAAUCUUGUAAUUGGAAUGAGUACAAUUUAAAUCUCUUAACGAGGAACAAUUGGAGGGCAAGUCUGGUGCCAGCAGCCGCGGUAAUUCCAGCUCCAAUAGCGUAUAUUAAAGUUGUUGCAGUUAAAAAGCUCGUAGUUGAAUUUCGGGAUCAAUACGUCGGUCGUGCUUUCGGGUACGUACUGGCGUCAUUGGUUUCUCCUUUCUGACGAACCAUGAUGUCAUUAAUUUGGUGUUAUGGGGAGUUAGGACUGUUACUUUGAAAAAAUUAGAGUGUUUAAAGCAGGCAUUAGCUUGAAUACAUUAGCAUGGAAUAAUGAAAUAGGACGUUCGAUCCUAUUUUGUUGGUUUCUAGGAUCAACGUAAUGAUUAAUAGGGAUAGUUGGGGGCAUUAGUAUUCAAUUGUCAGAGGUGAAAUUCUUGGAUUUAUUGAAGACUAACUACUGCGAAAGCAUUUGCCAAGGAUGUUUUCAUUAAUCAAGAACGAAAGUUAGGGGAUCGAAGACGAGCAGAUACCGUCGUAGUCUUAACCAUAAACUAUGCCGACUAGGGAUCGGAUGAUGUUAAUUUUUUAAUGACUCAUUCGGCGCCUUACGGGAAACCAAAGUGUUUGGG
rnacentral:rRNA from 1 species